UAACAAUCAAACAGAAUGAAUGAUGACAGGCAUCUUGCCUGGCACCUUGCUUAAUGUGGUGGUGAAGGUUUAUUGGGCCUUUUGGAGGUGGUGGCCUCAUCACCGAUGACAACUAAAAAAGGUGUUAUUCUCUCUCCAUACCUCCAGCAUCAGAUGACAACCACCACUCACUUAGAUCAAAAUGGCGAUUUCCACAAUCGCCACCGUCUCAAAUCAAAACGGCGAUUUACAUGGCCAUUGGUUCCAUUUUAUCUCUGGCCAAGCCCCAAAGCGGCGGCGUUAGGGUUGCUUUGCGAACUGGCCGCUGGAAUGCGACAACGCAAGUCAUUGCCGGAGUUCAGCAGAAAUAUUUUGUGAAGAAUAUUUAGUUGUCUCUCCAGGUAACUUUGGUUUUUGAAGUUGUUUUUCAUCUAAUUCGAACUUACUACUGUGUUUGAAUGUUGAGAUGAUGAUUGAACAUGUUUGUUCUUACUAAGGAGAAAGGAUAUGCCAUUCACUGAUAAACACAAGGCAUGGCAGCAACUGAGAAGGGGUCGUUAUGUGGAAUUCAUUAAUUCAAUUUGGUGUAUGAUCGAGGAACAACAUUCGGUCUUAAAACUGGAGGUUGGAUUGAAAGCAUUAUUAUCUCUUUGUCGCUGGUUGAGAGCGGCGGGUUUCUAACUUUUGGUAAGUUUUUAGAUGAUCUCAGCCGCUGGCUGGGGUGGAUAAGGGUUUUAUAACUUUUGGUAAUUUAUAGAUGACGAGAAGGGUUUCGAAGGCUGUGUUUUGUACAAUGUUAUGGUGAUUGUAGUGUCGGUGGUUGUUGAGAUGAGGAUGGCUUCUGCGAUUGUUGAUUGAGGUUUAAUUUCUUCUAUUAAAGAGUCGUAGCGGGUGGUGAUGAGAGUUCUCGGUUCAUUAUUAUGCCUCAGCUCCUAGAAAUGAUCAACGUGUGAUAGCCUUGAAUGCAAAGAGCAAGUUGGGAGGUUGAAGACCAUAUAUGCUAGAUCUCCAAGGUAGAUGCUACAUUUGGGGAUCUGUAACAGGGAUUGUGUCGUUGCUGUUACAAUGGGGUUAGCUACUAAUGUUGUUUAUGUUGAGUCAGCUCAUUUUGUUCCCAAUGGAGGAGUAGACAAAAACAAAUUUGGAGAAAUGGUUCUUUAUUUUUCUUUUUCUUUUGCAUUUAUUUAUUCUGAUUUAAGAAAUAGUUGAUAGUCAUGAGUAUUUGCAGGUUAUUGACAUGCAAUGGGGCAACUUCAAUACUCCACAUCUUCCUAUAACUCAGUUUGCAUGGCCUUGAAUUCGGAAAGCUCGAAUCCAGGAUCUCGGGUACAAAACAUGUCUUCGAUAACCCUUACCUAUAAUUCAACUUCGAAUGUUCUUGACAUUUCAAUGCUCCACAUCUUCCUAUAACUCAGUUUGACAUGGCCUUCGAUUCGGAAAGCUCGAAUCCAGGAUCUCGGGUACAAAACAUGUCCUCGAUAACCCUUAACUAUAAUUCAACUUCGAAUGCUCUUGACAUGAUUCACAAUGAGAGUAAUCAUUUUGGGUUGUCAUUCCUAGCCCGUUUAAUAAACAUGUGAUGUUCGGGUUGACCUGUUUAGUUUAAGGGGGCGUGUUCGGAUUAACCUGUCAAACAAACACGUCCACGACCCUUUAACCCUUUUAAAGCUACAGCAAUAAAAAAAUAUAUAUAUAUUUAAUAAGGCCAACCCACCAAUUGUGUAUUAUCUAACCCGUUUAAUAAUUAGGUUCAUAACCCCUCAACCAUUUUAAAGCAAAAAAAAAUAAUAAUAACACACAUUUAAUAAUGUAUUAGGUAUCCCCAAAUGUAGCACACACUAAGGUUUUGUCUGAACUAAGCGUAUCAUAAUUAUUGUUGUAUGAUAUGUGUGUCAAGUCAUUAAGUCACCUAUGUACCAUUAUCAUGGUAAUAACAAUCGC